rnacentral:rRNA from 1 species
CGGCAGGCUUAACACAUGCAAGUCGAGGGGCAGCAUGAGGGUUAGCAAUAACCCUUGAUGGCGACCGGCGCAAGGGUGCGUAACGCGUGAGCAACUUGCCCGUUUCAGGGGGAUAACCGGUGGAAACGCCGACUAAUACCCCAUGGUGAUGGUUUGAGGCAUCUCUUUCCAUCUAAAGAAUUUCGGAAACGGAUAGGCUCGCGUGACAUUAGCUAGAUGGCGGGGUAACGGCCCACCAUGGCGACGAUGUCUAGGGGUUCUGAGAGGAAGGUCCCCCACACUGGAACUGAGACACGGUCCAGACUCCUACGGGAGGCAGCAGUGAGGAAUAUUGGUCAAUGGUCUGACGACUGAACCAGCCAUGCCGCGUGAAGGUCACGGCCCUAUGGGUCUUAAACUUCUUUUGCGAGGGAGCAAUAAGGCGCACGUGUGCGUCGAUGAGAGUACCUCGCGAAUAAGCAUCGGCUAACUCCGUG